GACAGUUUAGCUUAAUGGUAAAGCAAGUGACGCGUAAUCACAGAGAUGUGAGUUCAAGUCUCAUGGCUGGCC
rnacentral:tRNA from 1 species